rnacentral:rRNA from 1 species
AGAGUUUGAUCAUGGCUCAGAACGAACGCUGGCGGCAUGCCUAACACAUGCAAGUCGAACGAGACCUUCGGGUCUAGUGGCGCACGGGUGCGUAACGCGUGGGAAUCUGCCCUUGGGUACGGAAUAACAGUUAGAAAUGACUGCUAAUACCGUAUAAUGUCUUCGGACCAAAGAUUUAUCGCCCAGGGAUGAGCCCGCGUAGGAUUAGCUUGUUGGUGAGGUAAAGGCUCACCAAGGCGACGAUCCUUAGCUGGUCUGAGAGGAUGAUCAGCCACACUGGGACUGAGACACGGCCCAGACUCCUACGGGAGGCAGCAGUGGGGAAUAUUGGACAAUGGGCGAAAGCCUGAUCCAGCAAUGCCGCGUGAGUGAUGAAGGCCUUAGGGUUGUAAAGCUCUUUUACCCGGGAUGAUAAUGACAGUACCGGGAGAAUAAGCUCCGGCUAACUCCGUGCCAGCAGCCGCGGUAAUACGGAGGGAGCUAGCGUUGUUCGGAAUUACUGGGCGUAAAGCGCGCGUAGGCGGCUUUGUAAGUUAGAGGUGAAAGCCCGGGGCUCAACCCCGGAACUGCCUUUAAGACUGCAUCGCUUGAAUCCAGGAGAGGUGAGUGGAAUUCCGAGUGUAGAGGUGAAAUUCGUAGAUAUUCGGAAGAACACCAGUGGCGAAGGCGGCUCACUGGACUGGUAUUGACGCUGAUGUGCGAAAGCGUGGGGAGCAAACAGGAUUAGAUACCCUAGUAGUCC